GAUGAAGAACGCAGCGAAAUGCGAUACUUGGUGUGAAUUGCAGAAUCCCGUGAACCAUCGAGUCUUUGAACGCAAGUUGCGCCCGAAGCCAUUAGGCCGAGGGCACGCCUGCCUGGGCGUCACACGUCGUUGCCCCCCCAUCUACUCCUUCGGGAUUGCGGGGGGCGGAUGAUGGCCUCUCGUGCGCCUCGUCGCGCGGUUGGCCUAAAUGCCAAGUCCUCGGCGACGCACGCCACGACAAUCGGUGGUUGCGAAACCUCGGUUGCCUGUCGUGUGCGGUCGUCGCGCAUCGAGGGCUCGAAAAAAUUGCCGGGCUCCGGCUCGGCUUUCAACGCGACCCCAGGUCAGGCGGGGUUACCCGCUGAAUUUAAGUAUAUCAAUAAGCGGAGGA
rnacentral:misc_RNA from 1 species